UCGUUAGUGUAACGGUUCAGCGCGCGCUCCCGCAAAGAGUGAAAUGUGGGUUCGAAUCCCAACUAACGCAGAA